GUCAAACCUGAGGCUCUGACCCCUUGUAGCCGCUGGCCCUCCCUUGACCCCUUUGGAUGAGUGAGGGGGCUCAGCUGGACCCUAUGACCUUGCUUCACAUUGGAGCAUGGAGUUUUCCAAGGAUCUGUCACUAGUGUGCCGUCUGAACAGACAUCGCUGCUGACACCUAAAACCUCUUCUAAGAAACACUCCAAUUAUUCAGAUAAUUGCUUGUGCCUAAGACUGUAUAACCUAAGAGUCGGGUGCAGGCUUGAUAAAGAAUUGGAAGCCCUCUGCAAAAC
rnacentral:lncRNA from 1 species